rnacentral:rRNA from 1 species
CUUACCGAUGGCGACCGGCGCACGGGUGAGUAACACGUAUCCAACCUGCCGAUAACUCGGGGAUAGCCUUUCGAAAGAAAGACUAAUAUCCGAUAGGAUAUCAAGAUCGCAUGAUCUUGAUAUUAAAGAAUUUCGGUUAUCGAUGGGGAUGCGUUCCAUUAGUUAGUUGGCGGGGUAACGGCCCACCAAGACGACGAUGGAUAGGGGUUCUGAGAGGAAGGUCCCCCACAUUGGAACUGAGACACGGUCCAAACUCCUACGGGAGGCAGCAG